GACGAACGCUGGCGGCGUGCCUAAUACAUGCAAGUCGAACGGUCUUUUCUAUGGAAGCUUGCUUCCGCUGAGAAGAUAGUGGCGAACGGGUGAGUAACACGUGGGUAACCUGCCCAUAAGAGGGGGAUAACAUCCGGAAACGGGUGCUAAUACCGCAUAGUUUUCUUGAUCGCAUGAUUGAGAAAGGAAAGACGGCCUUUGUGCUGUCGCUUAUGGAUGGACCCGCGGCGUAUUAGUUAGUUGGUGAAGUAACGGCUCACCAAGACGAUGAUACGUAGCCGGCCGGAGAGGGUGAUCGGCCACAUUGGGACGUGAGCACGGCCCAAACUCCUACGGGAGGCAGCAGUAGGGAAUCUUCCGCAAUGGACGAAAGUCUGACGGAGCAACGCCGCGUGAGUGAAGAAGGUUUUCGGAUCGUAAAACUCUGUUGUCAGAGAAGAACAAGUCGGAGAGUAACUGCUCCGGCCUUGACGGUAUCUGACCAGAAAGCCACGGCUAACUACGUGCCAGCCGCCGCAGUAAGAC
rnacentral:rRNA from 1 species